rnacentral:rRNA from 1 species
UCGAACGAGAAAGUGGAGCAAUCCAUGAGUAAAGUGGCGACCGGGUGAGUAACACGUGACUAACCUACCUCCGAGUGGGGAAUAACUCCGGGAAACCGGGGCUAAUACCGCAUAACAUCGCAAGAUCAAAGCAGCAAUGCGCUUGGAGAGGGGGUCGCGGCUGAUUAGCUAGUUGGCGGGGUAACGGCCCACCAAGGCGAAGAUCGGUAUCCGGCCUGAGAGGGCGCACGGACACACUGGAACUGAAACACGGUCCAGACUCCUACGGGAGGCAGCAGUGGGGAAUUUUGCGCAAUGGGGGAAACCCUGACGCAGCAACGCCGCGUGGAGGAUGAAGUCCCUUGGGACGUAAACUCCUUUCGACCAAGACGAUAAUGACGGUACUGGUGGAAGAAGCACCGGCUAACUCUGUGCCAGCAGCCGCGGUAAUACAGAGGGUGCGAGCGUUGUUCGGAAUUAUUGGGCGUAAAGGGCGCGUAGGCGGUGCCACAAGUCACCUGUGAAAUCUCCGGGCUUAACUCGGAGCCUGCAGGCGAAACUGUGGUGCUGGAGUAUGGGAGAGGUGCGUGGAAUUCCCGGUGUAGCGGUGAAAUGCGUAGAUAUCGGGAGGAACACCUGUGGCGAAAGCGGCGCACUGGACCAUAACUGACGCUGAGGCGCGAAAGCUAGGGGAGCAAACAGGAUUAGAUACCCUGGUAGUCCUAGCCCUAAACGAUGAUUGCUUGGUGUAGCAGGUACCCAAUCCUGCUGUGCCGCAGCUAACGCGAUAAGCAAUCCGCCUGGGGAGUACGGUCGCAAGGCUGAAACUCAAA